UGCCAGACUCCUACGGGAGGCAGCAGUGGGGAAUAUUGCACAAUGGGGGAAACCCUGAUGCAGCGACGCCGCGUGAGUGAAGAAGUAUUUCGGUAUGUAAAGCUCUAUCAGCAGGGAAGAAAAUGACGGUACCUGACUAAGAAGCCCCGGCUAACUACGUGCCAGCAGCCGCGGUAAUACGUAGGGGGCAAGCGUUAUCCGGAUUUACUGGGUGUAAAGGGAGCGUAGACGGCAGAGCAAGUCUGAAGUGAAAGCCCGCGGCCCAACUGCGGGACUGCUUUGGAAACUGCCCGGCUAGAGUGCUGGAGAGGUAAGCGGAAUUCCUAGUGUAGCGGUGAAAUGCGUAGAUAUUAGGAGGAACAUCGGUGGCGUAAGCGCUUUACUGGGCCGUAAUUGACGCUGAGGAACGAAAGCCAGGGUAGCAAAUGGGAUUAGAUACCCCAGUAA
rnacentral:rRNA from 1 species